rnacentral:tRNA from 1 species
GGGGAUUUAGCUCAGCGGCAUAAGCGCCUGCCUUGCAAGCAGGCAGGCAGUCCUGAGUUGGAUCCCCG